rnacentral:rRNA from 1 species
GGGGAAUAUUGGGCAAUGGGCGAAAGCCUGACCCAGCAACGCCGCGUGAGGGAAGAAGGUUUUCGGAUUGUAAACCUCUGUCGCAGAUGACGAAGAAAGUGACGGUAAUCUGUGAGGAAGCCCCGGCUAACUACGUGCCAGCAGCCGCGGUAAUACGAAGGGGGCUAGCGUUGUUCGGAAUUACUGGGCGUAAAGCGCACGUAGGCGGGCAUUUAAGUCAGGGGUGAAAUCCCAGAGCUCAACUCUGGAACUGCCUUUGAUACUGGGUGUCUUGAGUAUGGAAGAGGUAAGUGGAAUUCCGAGUGUAGAGGUGAAAUUCGUAGAUAUUCGGAGGAACACCAGUGGCGAAGGCGGCUUACUGGUCCAUUACUGACGCUGAGGUGCGAAAGCGUGGGGAGCAAACA